rnacentral:rRNA from 1 species
UACGUAGGGUGCGAGCGUUAAUCGGAAUUACUGGGCGUAAAGCGUGCGUAGGCGGUUCUCCAAGUCCGUUGUGAAAUCCCCGGGCUUAACCUGGGAAUGGCAGUGGAAACUAGGGGACUUGAAUCUGGCAGAGGGGGGUGGAAUUCCACGUGUAGCAGUGAAAUGCGUAGAUAUCUGGAGGAACACCGGUGGCGAAGGCGGCAUCCUGGACCAACACUGACACUGAUGAGCGAAAGCCAGGGGAGCAAACGGG